rnacentral:rRNA from 2 species
AGGAUGAACGCUGGCGGCGUGCUUAACACAUGCAAGUCGAACGGUGAACACGGAGCUUGCUCUGUGGGAUCAGUGGCGAACGGGUGAGUAACACGUGAGCAACCUGCCCCUGACUCUGGGAUAAGCGCUGGAAACGGCGUCUAAUACUGGAUAUGUGACGUGACCGCAUGGUCUGCGUUUGGAAAGAUUUUUCGGUUGGGGAUGGGCUCGCGGCCUAUCAGCUUGUUGGUGAGGUAAUGGCUCACCAAGGCGUCGACGGGUAGCCGGCCUGAGAGGGUGACCGGCCACACUGGGACUGAGACACGGCCCAGACUCCUACGGGAGGCAGCAGUGGGGAAUAUUGCACAAUGGGCGAAAGCCUGAUGCAGCAACGCCGCGUGAGGGAUGACGGCCUUCGGGUUGUAAACCUCUUUUAGCAGGGAAGAAGCGAAAGUGAC